UACGGAGGGUGCGAGCGUUAAUCGGAAUUACUGGGCGUAAAGGGUGCGUAGGUGGUUAAAUAAGUUAUGUGUAAAAUCCCUGGGCUCAACCUGGGCAGGUCAUAUAAUACUGUUUAACUUGAGUAUGGGAGAGGGUAGUGGAAUUUCCGGUGUAGCGGUGAAAUGCGUAGAGAUCGGAAGGAACACCAGUGGCGAAGGCGGCUACCUGGCCUAAUACUGACACUGAGGCACGAAAGCAUGGGGAGCAAACAGG
rnacentral:rRNA from 1 species